rnacentral:lncRNA from 1 species
UGCCCUUUGCUUCUCCCAAGUCUUAGUUGUAUACGUACUAACUAAUUUGUGGUAGGUAGUGGAUGGUUCUAGCACUUCUAAAUUUGUGCACCUCACAUUGUUAUCGACAGUUACCCCUUUAAAUAAUUACAAGUACAUCCUGUUGUGCUCCUUUGAAUAAUCAUCAAAUGAUCAUUAUGUACUGAGUGCUCCUUUCAUAAGUAAGAUUUGUGUUCUCAUUUAAGUAUUCACAAGUUUGAAAUGGAUGUUUUUACACUAUUGUUGAACGUGCUGAUUUUUUUUGUAUUUAAUGCUAUAUGAUAUUAUUUUGUUUCUUUACUUUGUAUUUGAGGCUUGCUUCUCAUAUGUGAUCCUUCAUGCUCUCAGAAGUUUGGAAGAGGAAGAUAAUGAAAGACAUAUCUAGAAGAGCUAGAUGAUCUAGAGAUGUACCUUUUCUUUGAUUGGUGUGACUAUUGGUAUCAUUGGUUUGUUUUAUUUAGUGUUGAAUGAAUCAAACUUGUAUGUAAUAUCAUAUUUGCCCGUGUUGUGAUUUUGAAUGUUGCUACAUGUAAUGCAUUUAUUGUUAUAAUUGCAAAAAAAU